GACGAACUGCCCAAACGUUGUUCGGAAUCACUGGGCUUAAAGGGCGCGUAGGCGGCGGAUCAAGUCGGGGGUGAAAUCCGGCAGCUUAACUGUCGAAGUGCCUUCGAUACUGAUUCGCUCGAGGGAGGUAGGGGUGCGUGGAACUUCCGGUGGAGCGGUGAAAUGCGUUGAUAUCGGAAGGAACGCCGGUGGCGAAAGCGACGCACUGGACCUUUUCUGACGCUGAGGCGCGAAAGCCAGGGGAGCAAACGGG
rnacentral:rRNA from 1 species